GGCGAUGUAGCUCAGCUGGCUAGAGCGUUCGGUUCAUACCCGAAAGGUCGGGGGUUCGAUCCCCUUCGUCGCUA
rnacentral:tRNA from 4 species